AUGUUUUGUGGCUUAGUCCAUUCUUGUUAAGUUUUCCACACAUUAGCCAUAGGUUUCAAUUACCAUAGUGGUUGAUGUAAAUCUUACCGUAUCCUUAGUGAGUUGAUUGUAAGUCUUCCAUGCUUAUUAUAGGGUUAACCCCUCACUAGUAUGUUGAAGCCGUCCUCUCAUGGUGGAUUGUUGAUUCAGGUUGAGUUUUCUCCCAUUGGUAAUGAAAAGCCUUAGAGCUUGUGUUUUAAAAUGAAUUCACUAACUUUUGGAAGUUUUUAG
rnacentral:lncRNA from 1 species